rnacentral:rRNA from 1 species
UACGUAGGGCGCAAGCGUUACUCGGAAUCACUGGGCAUAAAGGGCGUGUAGGCGGACGCGUAAGUCCGGUGUGAAAUCCCUCGGCUCAACCGAGGAUGGCCAUUGGAUACUGCGUGUCUAGAGUGUGGGAGGGGAGAGUGGAACUCUUGGUGGAGCGGUGAAAUGCGUAGAUAUCAAGAGGAACGCCGGUGGCGAAAGCGGCUCUCUGGCCCAUUACUGACGCUGAGGCGCGAAAGCUAGGGGAGCAAACGGGAUUAGAUACCCCGGUAGUCCUAGCCCUAAACGAUGGGUACUAAGUAGGGGCGACUCCGAUGUCGUCUCUGCUGUAGCUAAUGUGCUAAGUACCCCGCCUGGGGAGUACGGUCGCAAGGCUGAA